GCGAGAGUGGCGAAAUUGGUAGACGCGCUGGACUUAGAAUCCAGUGGCCGAGAGGUCGUGGGGGUUCGAGUCCCCCCUCUCGCA
rnacentral:tRNA from 1 species